rnacentral:rRNA from 1 species
CCUACGGGAGGCAGCAGUGGGGAAUUUUGGACAAUGGGCGCAAGCCUGAUCCAGCCAUGCCGCGUGAGUGAAGAAGGCCUUCGGGUUGUAAAGCUCUUUCGGCCGGGAAGAAAUCGGUUGGGUUAAUACCCCAACUGGAUGACGGUACCGGAAUAAGAAGCACCGGCUAACUACGUGCCAGCAGCCGCGGUAAUACGUAGGGUGCGAGCGUUAAUCGGAAUUACUGGGCGUAAAGCGUGCGCAGGCGGUUUUGUAAGACAGGCGUGAAAUCCCCGGGCUCAACCUGGGAACUGCGCUUGUGACUGCAAGGCUAGAGUAUGGCAGAGGGGGGUGGAAUUCCACGUGUAGCAGUGAAAUGCGUAGAGAUGUGGAGGAACACCGAUGGCGAAGGCAGCCCCCUGGGAUAACACUGACGCUCAGGCACGAAAGCGUGGGGAGCAAACAGGAUUAGAUACCCUGGUAGUCCACGCCCUAAACGAUGACAACUAGCCGUUGGGAACUUCGGUUCUUGGUGGCGUAGCUAACGCGAGAAGUUGUCCGCCUGGGGAGUACGGUCGCAAGAUUAAAACUCAAAGGAAUUGACGG